ACAGGUGCCUGCCCACAUAACAGGACAGGUCUUCCAGACUACAUGAAGUCAGAAGAGUUAUACCUCAGUGGUAAGCAAACCACAAGCUAGCAAAGCAAGUUCAAAAUGAACUCAAAGCCACUUAGGUACCUGUGAAAAAUCUAAACCAAUCAGUUCAACUGUCCAGACAAACAAAUAACAGUCAAUAACACAGACAGACAAAGCAUCAAGCAACAAUGAGCAAGGCACAAGCACAAGUGAAUUUGUUCUCAAAGCCUACAAAACAACACAAUGUUAGC
rnacentral:lncRNA from 1 species